rnacentral:tRNA from 1 species
GGAGGGAUGGCAGAGCGGUUGAAUGCACCGGUCUUGAAAACCGGCAAGGGUUAGUAGCCCUUCCUGGGUUCAAAUCCCAGUCCCUCCGCCA